GGCGAGAUGGCCGAGUGGUCUAAGGCGCUGGUUUUAGGCACCAGUCUCUCCGGAGGCGUGGGUUCGAACCCCACUCUCGUCA
rnacentral:tRNA from 1 species